rnacentral:rRNA from 1 species
AUUGAACGCUGGCGGCAGGCCUAACACAUGCAAGUCGAGCGGAUGAAGGGAGCUUGCUCCUGGAUUCAGCGGCGGACGGGUGAGUAAUGCCUAGGAAUCUGCCUGGUAGUGGGGGAUAACGUCCGGAAACGGGAGCUAAUACCGCAUACGUCAUGAGGGAGAAAGUGGGGGAUCUUCGGACAUCACGCUAUCAGCUGAGACUAGGUCGGAUUAGCUAGUUGGUGGGGUAAAGGCCUACCAAGGCGACGAUCCGUAACUGGUCUGAGAGGAUGAUCAGUCACACUGGAACUGAGACACGGUCCAGACUCCUACGGGAGGCAGCAGUGGGGAAUAUUGGACAAUGGGCGAAAGCCUGAUCCAGCCAUGCCGCGUGUGUGAAGAAGGUCUUCGGAUUGUAAAGCACUUUAAGUUGGGAGGAAGGGCAGUAAGUUAAUACCUUGCUGUUUUGACGUUACCAACAGAAUAAGCACCGGCUAACUUCGUG